CACAAGAGUCAACUCGCUCCCCACCGACCUCAGCGCUGGGUCAGCCAUUGGGCUGGGGUCACGUCAAUCAAGGCUGCCUGGCGAAUGAGCAGGGGGUAUCGGACCGGAAACCGGAUAUGAGGGGGAGGUCCAAUAGGGGGCGCCGCGUUGGAAAGCCCUAAGAGAUUGUGUUGCUGGGGUGGUUGGAAGCGGUUGGUGGGCGGGCGUAUGGCGGCCAGGCCUGGGACGCCACGAGGCUGGCUGGUGCCGUGGGGGUCACUCUUCCUGAUGCCACAAGUCACAAGGACUAGAAUGGGAGGUUGGUGGCUCUCAGGGGCCAACCCUUGGUCUCGCUGAUGGCGGUGAGCAAACCUACUCAACAGAGGGGGCUGCCACUGGGGCAAAUCCAGGAGGAAGAAGAUUUCCAGGGCCUGGGGCAAAGGACCAUGAUCCCGAGGAGGGAGAGGGCUUACUGCCCCAAUGCAGAGCAGCAGCCUCAGAUGGAUAAGGAGUUGAUGCCCCAGGGAUGCCGAGCCCUGCGAAAGUGGAAGCGAUUGUCCACCAGAAUCUGAAAACCCUGAAUCACUUGGGUGAGUGGGGUUCAGAGCUGAGACUUCACCGUUCAUCAGCAAUGGGACUCGAGAGACUCCAGAAGUGUGGCCAGAUGUUUGAGGAGCUGACUAACUCACUCUAGCUGGUGGCCUGGCCACAGGGACCUGAAGAACCAGUAUGGCGGAGGACAGCUCCUCAGGAAGGCUGGAGCGGCCACUUGGUCACUCAUGCCGUGGAAGCGCUGACUCAUCGCUUCUCCCACGCGCUGGCUGGUGGCGGAUGGGCCAUCGCAGGUGGCUUAAUGGAUGCGUCUCCCCAUCCACUAAUGGGAGAUGCUCACCUCGGCCCCCAGAAGAGGAGGAAGGCAGGAGGCAGAGAGAGCUUAUAUUCAUGUACCACUUGACUAUGGAAGAUUGGGAUGUUGAAGGGAAAAGAAAAUCACACUUUUAGAGAUGGAAGGGUCUCUUCCUCCCUCCCUCCUUCCUUCCUUCAAACAUUUAUUGAUCAUGCCUGGCACCAUGUGAAACACUGGUCAUACAAUAGUGAGCAAAAUUGGACAGGGCCCCAGCCCUUGGGAUGCUUACGGACAAAUGAGAGCCAGACGCUAAUCGGAUCAUCACAGAAGCACCUGUCAAUCUGCUGUAGACGAGGCUGUGCCACAGAGGAGCUGGUCUCUCCCAGAGGACGGGAUGCAGGGCUGAGACCCCAGGAUGAAAGGCAUGACUCGGCAAAGGGGCGGAAUGGCACGUGCAAAGGCCUGUGGGAGAGAACUAGAGAGCAGGCGGGACCCAAGGAAGGCCAGGCGACCUGAUGGCUAACGGGGACAAGUGAGAAGUAGUGGGCACGGCUCAGAGCUCAGGCCUUGUGGCCCUGGGAAGAAUUGUGCUUGUUAUCCUGAGAGCUAGGGGACAGACUGACGUUCUAAGGAGGGAGGGUAGGACCUAAUCAGAUCUGGGUCUCUGGGGGUCGUUUUACAGACGAGGAAACUGUAGGCCAGAGCUGACAAAGGCUUAGCCAAGACCACUGGCGAUUAGUGAAGGGAGGGUCCUUCCACCUUCUGACCUAGCUCCGAAUGGGCCCGACUUCACCAUCUGAGCAUGAGAAGGAGCACAGGCAGAAAUGGAGGCAGGGCUUGAAGGGGGUGGGGACAGCAAGGAACAAGAGGCUGUCUCUUCUCUUUCAUCAGCAUCGAAAUCAGAUGCUACUUAGUAAAAAUCUGACAAACCCUAGAUUAUGACUCAUCUACCUCAAUUCCCCCGGCAAUGGAAUAAACCAAUUUGCUUAAACCUCCAACUGAUCUUGUACGUUUGUCUUUUUUUUUCCUUAAUAUCAGAAGCUCCAAAGAAACCAAAGUUUACACGAAAAGAAAAAACCUAGCAUACUAGAUUGAAGCAGACAUAUGCUUAUCUCUUUUCUAAAAGAAUUGAAUUAAAAAACAAAGCCCACAAACAGAACCUCAUGACGCUGUCUGUGCCAGCCCCCUGCUGCUCCUCUCGCCUCAGCGCCUGGAAUAAAUCACCCUGCAGCCCACCUCUCCUCCCUGGGAAUGGGCCAGCCUCCUUUGGGUCUUGGGCUCCCUGCCACAGGAAGCACAGAGCUCAGCACACAAGGAGACCAACCAGGGGCCCCUGGGAUCAUUCCUGGCACAGAGGUCCCAUCGCUGUCCCAGUCUGCAGAUGCGGAAACUGAGACUCACAGAAGUCAAGUAAUUUACCUAAAGAUCUUGCCUUGUAUAUGUCAGAACUGGGCCUUGACCCCCAACUCUGAUGCUAAAAACCAAAGGACACAAAAGUCGUAAGCCUUAUUCUUUUCUCUCUCUCUCCAAACAUUGGGUAUGUACAGAACAGUAGGUACAUGAUUCCCUUUAACUCAGUGGUUCUCAACCAGGGGCAGUUUUGCACCCCAGGGGACAUUGGGCAAUGUCUGGGGACAUUUUUGGUUGUCACAGUUCAGGAGUGGGGAGAUGCUAUUAGCAUCUAGUGUGCAGAGGUCAGGGAUGCUGCUAAACAUCCUACAAAGCCCAGCACGGCCCCACAGCAGAGAAUGAUCCAGUCCAGGAUGUCAAUAGGGCUGAAGCUGAGAAACCCUCAUUUGGGUAAUAUAUGUGCAUGCCCACGUGCAGAGAAAGGGCUGGAAAGAUAAGCACCAAACUGUCUAUAUUUGUUUAUCUCUUGAUGAAAGGAUUUGGGUAAUUUUUACUUUUUCUUCCUUAUGUUUUUCUGUACUGUGAAUUUUCUAAGGAACAAUGUGCAUGUAUCGCUUUUAUAAUCAGAAAAAAAGAGCUGUUUUCAUUUUGUAAAAAUAAAAAAGAGAUUCGGGA